UGGGGAAUAUUGCACAAUGGGCGCAAGCCUGAUGCAGCCAUGCCGCGUGUAUGAAGAAGGCCUUCGGGUUGUAAAGUACUUUCAGCGAGGAGGAAGGCAUUAAGGUUAAUAACCUUAGUGAUUGACGUUACUCGCAGAAGAAGCACCGGCUAACUCCGUGCCAGCAGCCGCGGUAAUACGGGAGGUGCAAGCGUUAAUCGGAAUUACUGGGCGUAAAGCGCACGCAGGCGGUCUGUCAAGUCGGAUGUGAAAUCCCCGGGCUCAACCUGGGAACUGCAUUCGAAACUGGCAGGCUAGAGUCUUGUAGAGGGGGUAGAAUUCCAGGUGUAGCGGUGAAAUUGCGUAGAGAUCUGGAGGAAUACCGGUGGCGAAGGCGGCCCCCUGGACAAAGACUGACGCUCAGGUGCGAAAGCGUGGGAGCAAACA
rnacentral:rRNA from 1 species